rnacentral:lncRNA from 1 species
UCCUGCUACCCAUGCCCUAGGUUUCCAUAAUGGAAAAUGUAAUAUCCCGAAUAUUUACGAGACUAGAAUAAGAAAAUAAAAAAAUUCCGAAAAAGACGUGAAAACACUAUUCAUAAAACGUAAAGUCAACUUUGAAAAAGUCAACAUUUUUGACUAACCGGAUAAGUUAAGAAAAGUUAGAAGAUUAACUAGAAAGUAAACUAAGUUGGAUUAACCAAACUAGGUGGAAUUUGGUUAGGUUGUAGAGAAAGUGUUGGCAUUAUGGCCAUUUAUGAAGCUUAUAUGCAUAUAACUUAUGUAUGUAUAGGUUUUUCCUUGAUUAAUUAGUUGGCAAAUGAGACUUUGCUUCCUAAAAUGUGUUGUCCAAAAUUGUGUGGUGUGUUGUGGCACAUGGAUGCCUAGGCUUGGUGACUCACCAAAUGUGAUGAUGAAGCAUGUGACUCGACUAGCCAUGGUUGGGUGGCUUAAGGUCCUAAAUAGCAUAAGUCUUGGUUUCCUAUAAAUAGAACCCUCAUUCUUAAUAAAUCCUCACAUAUUCAUAAGUAAUUCAAAAGCAAAAGAGGCUAGAGUAAUCAUAAGAGAGUAAUAUUGGUAAUUAAGAGAAGGAAGGAAAACUAAAGUCUUGCAUUUUCAAGUAUCGAAAAGCUUGCAACUUCAAGAGGUAUUACUCUAGUGGUUAUUAUUUUCAUCCUUCUUUAUAUAAUUAGUAAAAAUAUACUUUUAUAAGCAGUUACUAUGUUCGAUUUUCUUCAAGUAUUUAGUAAGAAUAUUCAUUUUACAAACAGUUAUAAUGCUCAAUUUAUUUUAAAUAUAGAUUGAUGAAUAUUCAUUUUAUAAGCAAUUAUAAUGCUGAAAUUAUUUCACGUAUAGUACAAGAAGUCUUAUUUAUAAGCGGUUAUAAUACCCGAAAUAAAACUUAAAAGAUUUAAUCGUUAAAUGUUUAAUUAGUCUACAUGAACUUAUAAUCGUGUAUGAUUUACGACGAGCGUUUAAUCCUUAUUAUAUAAUCUAUAAAAGAUAUACGAGGCAAGUCUUCUAACUGCUAUGUGUUAUGUUUACAAAUUAUGAACCUGAUUUAUACGCUUUGUGUGACAAUGUGAUAUAGAUUGUUGAAAUGAAAGUUAAUUGUGAUAUUAAAUUGAGGAAUAUGACAAGUCAAAGCAUGUUAAAGUUUAUAUGAAAGCAUAAACUGUGUAUGUGUUAUUUGUUAGACUUGUUGAGCCGUAGUGCUCAUUCUUGCAAAUAAAACUUUAUUUGCAGUUAAAGAAGAAUGAUAAGAAUAUCAUGAACGUAAAGAAGAAGCGUAAAUUAAGGUUUCAUGUUUUAUUUACUUGUAUUUGUAUUAAAUGACUUCUGUAAUACGAACAAGCAAACCAUGUAAUCGCAGAUUAUAUUAAGAAUAUCAUGUUAUUAUCAUCAGAAUGGUGGUAUGUCUUUAAUUUGAUAUAACUUAGAAUUGUUAAAUCUAUUAAUCUGAGUGAGGGUAUUGGUAAUAUGGACUGAUCAUGUUAUGCUGAUACUCUGAACUUCAGAUAGAUAGUAAAACAUUAAUACAAUGUUGAUAAAGAAUUAUAUAUUUGAAUGAGG